CCUACGGGGGGCAGCAGUGAGGAAUAUUGGUCAAUGGACGAGAGUCUGAACCAGCCAAGUAGCGUGAAGGAUGACUGCCCUAUGGGUUGUAAACUUCUUUUAUAUGGGAAUAAAACGUUCCACGUGUGGGAUUUUGUAUGUACCAUAUGAAUAAGGAUCGGCUAACUCCGUGCCAGCAGCCGCGGUAAUACGGAGGAACCGAGCGUUAUCCGGAUUUAUUGGGUUUAAAGGGAGCGUAGGUGGAUUGUUAAGUCAGUUGUGAAAGUUUGCGGCUCAACCGUAAAAUUGCAGUUGAAACUGGCAGUCUUGAGUACAGUAGAGGUGGGCGGAAUUCGUGGUGUAGCGGUGAAAUGCUUAGAUAUCACGAAGAACUCCGAUUGCGAAGGCAGUUCACUGGACUGCAACUGACACUGAGGCUCGAAAGUGUGGGUAUCAAACAGGAUUAGAUACCCUUGUAGUC
rnacentral:rRNA from 1 species